ACUACGGGGGGCAGCAGUGAGGAAUAUUGGUCAAUGGGCGCGAGCCUGAACCAGCGACGCCGCGUGAGGGAUGAAGGUCUUCGGAUCGUAAACCUCUGUCAGCAGGGAAGAACGGUCACUGUGCUAAUCAGCAGUGAAUUGACGGUACCUGCAAAGGAAGCACCGGCUAACUCCGUGCCAGCAGCCGAGGUAAUACGGAGGGUGCGAGCGUUAAUCGGAAUUACCGGGCGUAAAGCGUUCGUAGGCGGUAUGUCAAGUCAAGGGUGAAAUCCCCGCGCUCAACGUGGGAACUGCCUUUGACACUGGCAAACUGGAGUGUGUGAGAGGAUAGUGGAAUGCCAGGUGUAGGCGUGAAAUCCGUAGAUAUCUGGAGGAACAUCAGUGGCGAAGGCGACUAUCUGGCACAUAACUGACGCUGAGGAGCGAAAGCGUGGGUAGCAAACAGGAUUAGAUACCCCUGUAGUC
rnacentral:rRNA from 1 species